UACAGAGGUCCCAAGCGUUGUCCGGAAUCCUUGGGCGUAAAGCGCGUGUAGGCGGCCCGGUAAGUCCGCUGUGAAAGUCGGGGGCUCAACCCUCGAAUGCCGGUGGAUACUGUCGGGCUAGAGUGCGGAAGAGGCGAGUGGAAUUCCUGGUGUAGCGGUGAAAUGCGUAGAGAUCGGAAAGAACACCAACGGCGAAAGCACUCUGCUGGGCCGACACUGACACUGAGAGACGAAAGCUAGGGGAGCGAAUGGG
rnacentral:rRNA from 1 species